rnacentral:rRNA from 1 species
UACGUAGGGAGCAAGCGUUGUCCGGAAUCAUUGGGCGUAAAGCGCGCGUAGGCGGCCCGGAAAGUCGGAUGUGAAAACCUGGGGCUCAACCCCAGGCGUGCACCCGAUACUCCCGGGCUGGAGGCAGGUAGGGGAGAUCGGAAUUCCUGGUGUAGCGGUGAAAUGCGCAGAUAUCAGGAGGAACACCGGUGGCGAAGGCGGAUCUCUGGGCCUUGCCUGACGCUGAGGCGCGAAAGCUAGGGGAGCGAACAGG